UAUAUUAUAAGGGUCAACUUCAAUAUAAACAAAUUUUAUAGGGACUAUGACAAAAGAACAACGACUAUAGACAAAAUGAUAUAUAUUUUUAUUUAUUAAAAUCAAAUAAAUGAAAUAAAAUUAAAAUGUGGCAUAUUUGCAAGUAUUUAAAUAAAAUAAAAACAAAAAAUUCAUGAUGUUAACAAUUUAUAUAUUCAAUAAACAAAUCUAAU
rnacentral:lncRNA from 1 species